GACGAACGCUGGCGGCGUGCCUAAUACAUGCAAGUAGAACGCACAGUUUAUACCGUAGCUUGCUACACCAUAGACUGUGAGUUGCGAACGGGUGAGUAACACGUAGGUAACCUGCCUGGUAGCGGGGGAUAACUAUUGGAAACGAUAGCUAAUACCGCAUAAUAUUAAUUAUUGCAUGAUAAUUAAUUGAAAGGUGCAAUUGCACCACUACCAGAUGGACCUGCGUUGUAUUAGCUAGUAGGUGAGGUAACGGCUCACCUAGGCGACGAUACAUAGCCGACCUGAGAGGGUGAUCGGCCACACUGGGACUGAGACACGGCCCAGACUCCUACGGGAGGCAGCAGUAGGGAAUCUUCGGCAAUGGACGAAAGUCUGACCGAGCAACGCCGCGUGAGUGAAGAAGGUUUUCGGAUCGUAAAGCUCUGUUGUAAGAGAAGAACGGGUGUGAGAGUGGAAAGUUCACACUGUGACGGUAUCUUACCAGAAAGGGACGGCUAACUACGUG
rnacentral:rRNA from 1 species